AACGAACGCUGGCGGCAUGCCUAACACAUGCAAGUCGAACGAGACCUUCGGGUCUAGUGGCGCACGGGUGCGUAACGCGUGGGAAUCUGCCCUUGGGUUCGGAAUAACAGUUAGAAAUGACUGCUAAUACCGAAUGAUGUCUUCGGACCAAAGAUUUAUCGCCCAGGGAUGAGCCCGCGUCGGAUUAGCUAGUUGGUGAGGUAAAGGCUCACCAAGGCGACGAUCCGUAGCUGGUCUGAGAGGAUGAUCAGCCACACUGGGACUGAGACACGGCCCAGACUCCUACGGGAGGCAGCAGUGGGGAAUAUUGGACAAUGGGCGAAAGCCUGAUCCAGCAAUGCCGCGUGAGUGAUGAAGGCCUUAGGGUUGUAAAGCUCUUUUACCCGGGAUGAUAAUGACAGUACCGGGAGAAUAAGCCCCGGCUAACUCCGUGCCAGCCGCCGCCGUAAUAC
rnacentral:rRNA from 1 species